UACGGGGGGGGCAAGCGUUGUUCGGAAUUACUGGGCGUAAAGGGCUCGUAGGCGGCCAACUAAGUCAGACGUGAAAUCCCUCGGCUUAACCGGGGAACUGCGUCUGAUACUGGAUGGCUUGAAUCCGGGAGAGGGAUGCGGAAUUCCAGGUGUAGCGGUGAAAUGCGUAGGAUAUCUGGAGGAACACCGGUGGCGAAGGCGGGUCUCUGGGCGAGUAACUGACGCUGAGGAGCGAAAGCGUGGGGAGCGAACAGG
rnacentral:rRNA from 1 species